GCCCUUGUAGCUCAGUUGGCAGAGCACCACCAUGGUAAGGUGGGGGUCAGCGGUUCAAAUCCGCUCGAGGGCU
rnacentral:tRNA from 1 species